UACGUAGGGGCCGAGCGUUGUCCGGAUUCAUUGGGCGUAAAGAGCGUGUAGGCGGCCGCUUAAGUCCUGCGUGAAAUCUCGGAGCUCAACUCCGAGCGGUCGUGGGAAACUGGGCGGCUAGAGUGCGGGAGAGGAGAGUGGAAUUCCUGGUGUAGCGGUGAAAUGCGUAGAUAUCUGGAGGAACACCGGUGGCGAAGGCGGCAUCCUGGACCGGUAUUGACGCUGAGGCGCGAAAGCUAGGGGAGCAAACGGG
rnacentral:rRNA from 1 species